GACGAACGCUGGCGGCGUGCUUAACACAUGCAAGUCGAACGGAAAGGCCCUGCUUGCAGGGUACUCGAGUGGCGAACGGGUGAGUAACACGUGGGUGAUCUGCCCUGCACUUCGGGAUAAGCCUGGGAAACUGGGUCUAAUACCGGAUAGGAGCCAUUUUUAGUGUGAUGGUUGGAAAGUUUUUUCGGUGUAGGAUGAGCUCGCGGCCUAUCAGCUUGUUGGUGGGGUAAUGGCCUACCAAGGCGGCGACGGGUAGCCGGCCUGAGAGGGUGGACGGCCACAUUGGGACUGAGAUACGGCCCAGACUCCUACGGGAGGCAGCAGUGGGGAAUAUUGCACAAUGGGCGCAAGCCUGAUGCAGCGACGCCGCGUGGGGGAUGACGGCCUUCGGGUUGUAAACUCCUUUCGCUAGGGACGGAGCUUUUUGUGACGGUACCUAGAUAAGAAGCACCGGCUAACUACGUG
rnacentral:rRNA from 1 species